GUAGGUGGCAAGCGUUGUCCGGAAUUAUUGGGGCGUAAAGCGCGCGCAGGCGGUUCUUUAAGUCUGAUGUGAAAGCCCACGGGCUCAACCGUGGAGGGUCAUUGGAAACUGGAGAACUUGAGUACAGAAGAGGAAAGCGGAAUUCCACGUGUAGCGGUGAAAUGCGUAGAGAUGUGGAGGAACACCAGUGGCGAAGGCGGCUUUCUGGUCUGUAACUGACGCUGAGGCGCGAAAGCGUGGGGAGCAAACAGGAUUAGAUACCCUGGUAGUCCACGCCGUAAGCGAUGAGUGCUAAGUGUUAGGGGGGUUUCCGCCCCUUAGUGCUGCAGCUAACGCAUUAAGCACUCCGCCUGGGGAGUACGGCCGCAAAGGCUG
rnacentral:rRNA from 1 species